GGGAGGUGGCACAGAGCAGGGCUUGGUGUCCUCAGAGCCGGCAGGAUUCACUGUGGGGAUCACAACUCUGCCAUCUCCUCGUUUGGAGUUUAUCCUUGUUUCCUGAGGAAUCUGCAACGCAGAGAUUUGGGAUUAUGGGGUGAGAAUCGAGGCUGCCACCAAGGAGAGCUCCUGUUCCCUCUGGGCAGAAAACCCAGAAAUUUGGGAUUAUUUGGGGUGAGAAUUGAGGCUGCCACCAAGGAGAGCUCCUGUUCCCCCUGGGCAGGCACCCCAGAAAUUUGGGAUUAUGGGGUGAAAAUCGAGGCUGC
rnacentral:lncRNA from 1 species